AAAUUGAAGAGUUUGAUCAUGGCUCAGAUUGAACGCUGGCGGCAGGCCUAACACAUGCAAGUCGAACGGUAACAGGAAACAGCUUGCUGUUUCGCUGACGAGUGGCGGACGGGUGAGUAAUGUCUGGGAAACUGCCUGAUGGAGGGGGAUAACUACUGGAAACGGUAGCUAAUACCGCAUAAUGUCGCAAGACUAAAGAGGGGGACCUUCGGGCCUCUUGCCAUCGGAUGUGCCCAGAUGGGAUUAGCUAGUAGGUGGGGUAACGGCUCACCUAGGCGACGAUCCCUAGCUGGUCUGAGAGGAUGACCAGCCACACUGGAACUGAGACACGGUCCAGACUCCUACGGGAGGCAGCAGUGGGGAAUAUUGCACAAUGGGCGCAAGCCUGAUGCAGCCAUGCCGCGUGUAUGAAGAAGGCCUUCGGGUUGUAAAGUACUUUC
rnacentral:rRNA from 2 species